rnacentral:rRNA from 1 species
UAGGGAAUCUUCCACAAUGGACGCAAGUCUGAUGGAGCAACGCCGCGUGAGUGAAGAAGGUCUUCGGAUCGUAAAGCUCUGUUGUUGGUGAAGAAGGAUAGAGGCAGUAACUGGUCUUUAUUUGACGGUAAUCAACCAGAAAGUCACGGCUAACUACGUGCCAGCAGCCGCGGUAAUACGUAGGUGGCAAGCGUUGUCCGGAUUUAUUGGGCGUAAAGCGAGCGCAGGCGGAAUGAUAAGUCUGAUGUGAAAGCCCACGGCCCAACCGUGGAACUGCAUCGGAAACUGUCAUUCUUGAGUGCAGAAGAGGAGAGUGGAACUCCAUGUGUAGCGGUGGAAUGCGUAGAUAUAUGGAAGAACACCAGUGGCGAAGGCGGCUCUCUGGUCUGCAACUGACGCUGAGGCUCGAAAGCAUGGGUAGCGAACAGGAUUAGAUACCCUGGUAGUCCAUGCUGUAAAACGAUGAGCGCUAGGUGUUGGGGGACUUUCCGGUCCUCAGUGCCGCAGCAA